GACUUGUUCCAGCCAGUGACAUCAGGAGGAAUCCCCAGCCAUUAGGAGCCCAAUCAAAGCUAGGACAGCUUUUCAACCAAUCAGGGGAGGGUGCAGAGCAAUCCUAAGCAAACAAAAAAAAAAUGCUAUCUGAAGACAACCCAGUUGUGUCUCCCAAAUCAUCAGAACUGGCAGCUUAGAAUCAAUACUGGAAGUCUACAAAAAUGAAAAUGUGAGAUUAAACAAAGAUGCAACUGGUGACGAACAAUGAAAACAAUUUAGGAUCAAAGAGUUUCAA